UGCGGGAAGGGCGCUCGCGGCCUCGGCGCCGCGGUGGGGCCGCGCGGGGGCGGGGUGCCGCCAUCACCGCCGCCUGAGUGGGGGCAUACGGGGCCACGCAGCCCUUCCCCACCCCCUCCUGCGGCGUGGCGUGGCGUGGCUCGUCGCGGAGCCGGGUGGGCGAGGGUGCUCCGAUCGUGCCUAGCUUUCCCUUCGCGUCGCUUUCCCCCUGCCCGCUUUUAGUCACGCUCCCCGGUGCGGGGCCUCUGAGUACUUCCCGGCCUCCCCGCCCAGGCGCCGGCCGGGCGCUGGCAGGGAGCGGCUCCGGGCGCACCGCCCGACCGGCAGGGGGCGCUGCCUCAGCAGGAAUGGUGGCGGCGGGCCGGCGGCCUCCAGGCGACUGCGCGGUGUCCUGCGGUGCCUCCGGGCUCCUCCGAGGGCCCUUCGUGGUGUGCCUGGGGGGUCUGGCACCCGCGCUCAAAGCGCUGCCGUUAACGGCUGCUUCCGGCGUGGCCUCCAGCGCCGGUGUGGGGAGAUUGCGCAACUCAGGUGGAACGCUGGAGUGGGUCAGAACGCUGGAGUUUGGGUCCAGCAGCAGCAGUUAGCGGGAACACCUCACGUCCUCGUGUUGGAAGUAAUGAGGCUGGAGGAACCAUGUUGCACGGGGAUCCCUAAAGUGAGGGUAUUUUUGGACAGUUGCUUCAGGAGCUGGCAGUGCUUCCACUCCGGGCACGGGGAGAGCCUGGCAGUUGGCGUUCCCUGCUAGCAGUGCCCCCAUCUCUAUAAACAAAGCGAGGGUUUCUAGGGAGAGGUAAUGUCUGUUAUUAGAUCAGACCAGCUGACAGAAAGGUCAUGUUUUGUGGCAUAUUUUCAACCCUUUGUGUCCCAGAAUGUGUUCAUUGAGCUGAGAUCUAUGAGGACUGAGGACUAUGAAAGUUAGUACCUUUCACACGGAACGUGAUAAUUGCAGAGGAAACCCAUUCCGUUUAUUGGCAGAUUAAGGAAUCCAGAAGCUUGUGUUAUCUCUUUUAAUUAUUAUUUUUUUAAAAAAAGAUUAUUUGAAUUUAACAGUUAAAGACUUUUUUUUUGUUAGAAAUCCUGUCUUUUGGCUAUCUCUAGUCAGGUGAAGUUUUAGAAGGUUUCUUCACAUAAUGUCAUAUGCAUGAAAAACCAUGCAUAUGUCACUAGCCUCCAAAUGUAAAAAAUGAGGCCUUUUUCAUUCUAACUGCAUUUGCAAUUUUGUUCAUCAAUCUUUGUGUUGUCAAUCUAUUAUAGAUUAGUGAUUUAUUUGCCUUGCCCCGUUCAAGAAAAUAAUUUGGAGUUUCCUCAAAUUUGUUUUGUGUUUAAGCUUCUUUUUUUUUUUUCAGCUCUAUAUUGCAUACCUUUAAACAUCUGUUUGAAGCAAAUUGGUAAAAAAGACCAUGAUCAAUAUCUGGUAUUGCUAUAACUCAGUCUGAUUUGUGCUUUCACAACAGUAUAACUGUGUUACAUGUAACAUUAAAGAAAACAAGGUAGUUACUGUAAAAAUAAAAAAAAAAGAUAAGGAGGUAUUUGUUCUUUGUUCACGUAAUUUUUGGCAGACAGGCAUUUAAUUUGUAUACAGUUACAAGGACUCUUGGUUUGACAGAAUUACAGAUGGAUCCCAGACAUGGAAUUUACCCUGUCUUUACACAUAAGCCUUUCAUGGGUUUGUGGUACUCUUGAUCUGGCUUGGAACAUGCAGUUCAGUGGUCCUAAACAAUUAUGGGUGCAGAAAUAUUUUAUAAACUCGUUUUGGCCUCUUGAGCAGUGGCUUUGCAACUAUAAAUGGAAAAUCGUUCAUGGGUAGGAUGCCAGUUAGCUCUUUGAUGUACUGUGCAAAGGUCCUUGAGCUUGUGUGAGUUCAUCAGAUGUAGAAGUAUGGAAAUUCCACCAGAGUUUCUGCUUCCAGCAGAGAAAUAGUACCAUCUUAAGCUAUCUUCUAAUGUCUGUGUGGAACCCAGUUCAGAGUUUGCUGUGACACAUCAUCAGAUAUUGCACUGGUGGCGUCAACAUGCUGUAAUGUAUGCCUGUGGCUAUUGUAGGUCCUCAGGAUGGGACUACCAAAAUGUGACUGUUUGCAUAAUGUAACCACAAGGAAUGCUCCAGUAGUAAAAGUCCACGAAAGUUAAGAAUAUUGACAUUUUCAGGUCCCUCAAUCUCUGAUCAUCUGAGUACAUCAGAUUCUCAAAGCUUUUAGUCAUCUUCGUGACCCUUCACUUAACUUCAAUCUCUCUUUUAUUUCAGGAGAGAGUAAGCUGAACACAGUGGUCCAGAUGUAGCUUUAUAUGUGCUGAACAGAAGGCAAUAAUCAUGUCCCUUGACCUGCUGGCUAUGGUCUUGCUAAUGCAGUCCAAGAUGUGGGAUUGCCACUGGAAAUCACCUGCUAAUUGGACUUCAAACAUUUGUUAACUAUUCUUUGAGUCAAUGAUCUGAUCAGUUUUUAACUAACCUCGUGGUCCACCUAUCCAGCCUAAGUCUCCCAAUUUGGCUGCAAGAACACUAUCAAAAGCCUUGCUGAAGACAAGAGGAACAACAAUUAUUACUCCACCUCUCCCAGACAGCAUGUGAUUUAAUUGUAGAAGGCAAUCAGUGUGAUAAAACACAGUUUGCUCUUGGUAAAUUCAAGAUGGCCAUUCUCAAUCACAUACUUUGCCAUUGUGUGAAUGAGAAUGGUUUCUCUGAGUACUUGCUCCAUAAUUUUCCCACGGAUUGCGGUGAGGUUGGUCAGCCUGUAGUCACCUAUAUCAUCCUCACCAUUUUCUAAGACAGACACUACAGUUUUAUAAUUGUCAGGAUCCUCCACAGAACUUAGUUCUCAGGACCUCAUCUUUCACAAUUACACACGUGGCACAUUGUGUUCAGUGGAGAGACUGCAGAAACUCAAAAGCUUUGUUUUCACAAAGUGUAUUGAAGAACUAAGGCAAGAUCAAGAAAGGCUAAUGAGGAUGACUAAGGAUAUGAAAAAAAAAUCUGUUUUGAAAGAUUAGGGUUUUUUGUUUUAACCUUAGAGAGAAGGUUAAAAAGGGGUAUGCAGUAGAAUAAUUGUCUAGGUACAGUAGAUUAGAUGACUGUGUUCUCUGUCAUCAAACAUAAGCACAGGAACAUCAAGGAAAAUUAAAAAGUAACAUUCAAAACUGAUAAAAUACAACCUAUAAUUACCUCUCCUUAUAAAACUUGUAAUUAGAGUGUGGAAUUCACUGCCAAAUCACAAAGGCCAGGAAUGCAACAAGAUUAAAAAGAGUAUUGUAUUUUUAGGGAUAACAAGAAUAUUCAAGAGAUAUGGUUGGCUGGUAAAAAUAAGAGAAGGGCUAUUAAGUCUCAGAUUUCAAGGUGGAAACCAAAUUUCUGUUGACUAGAAUGGGUUGAUACUGAUAUUAGCAAAUCAGUAACUAAAGAGCAUGAGUAAGGAGGAGAUGGUCCACCUCUGCCUGCCCUCGAGUCUUUGUAUAGUGUGAUCCAAAGUGCUAGAACAUGUCGUUUGUGUAGUGAGGCAGUUCUUAACAAAGUCCUAUGUUUGGCUGAUUUAAUUCUGCUGUUUCAGUAGUGUUAUAGCUAAAAUGCUAUAAUGAUGUGAAAAAUUGAGCCCAAUACUUUGUUCAAUUGAAUAAAAACAUGGGAUGAUUAUUUUUCAACCUGUAACCUAUGUACCAGUGGAAAUAAUAACAAAUCCUAUGUAAAUAAUAAGUAGGAAGUAGAUCAAUAGGGAAUCCUUCAAUUAGAAUUAGAGAAACACUGGAACAAACGAUUUCUUAAGAUUCUCUGUGUAGCCUGAAGAAGAAGAACAUUGCUUCUGUGACUGUUUUUAGUUUUAAAUAAAUGUUAAAAUACAGUUUGAACUGGAUUCUGUACUACCUUCCCUUUUCAAAAUUAUUGUAUGAAAAUUUUGGAAUGUGAAACAUAAGUAUACAAAAACCCUAGCUGAGCUGUGAACAUCUUAGCUAUAACAUUUAUAUAAUUCCAUCGGAUCUGUGACCUGAUCCAAAAGUCACAUUGCUGUAUUCGUAAUAAAAUAAUUCAGGACUUUUUUAUUGUAAAUUAAUUCCAAGUCAGUGGCAGGCACUAAUGUGGCUUUCUAUACUUGAGAACAGGCAGAAGAAUUUAGUUGUUUUUCAGUGAUGAUGAUGAUACAUAUCAGUGACAACUUGCAAAAAGAGAGUUGUAUUCAGAGGCGAUCAAUGGUUGGAGAAGUCAAGUCUCCACUUGAUCUCUUGAGUUUUGACACUAAAUUUAAAUCAAAAUUAUAAUACCACCACUUAUGGUCUUCUGCUACUAACUUUUACUCUCUGUUGUGAUGUAUUUCCAAUUUUAAAAGAAAGAGGAGUCAUUUAAAAUAGAGAACAGAGAUGUGGUGUAGGUGGGAGAUUUUAUUCUAUAAUUGGUAAAAGACUAUAGUGGUUGCUAUGUGGACAUGAUGAAUUUCACAUUCUUAAGUGUAAUGGAUGCACUUUGGAACAGCAGUUUAAAUUUUCAAGCACUUUUAUGGCUAUAUAAGUUCCUAGUUGAGGCUUCAUGUGCUAAAAAUGAACAGUGUAGAAGAAUUCAUACUUUUCCUACUGCUUUUACAUUGCUGUCACUUCUGUUGUGCUUUCAUCUCCACUCUAUCCACUUCAGCUUCUCAACCGUUUUGUAAUGAGAGAACUACUUUAAAGUUACUCUAAUUACAGAAAUAAAAUUUGUUCUUUGAACCACAUACAGGAUGGAACCAUCAGAUUACUUUGAGUGGGUGUGUCCCAGCUUUCUGAUGGACAAGCUACCAGUGUUCCUGAUCUUUGCUAAGCUAAAGGAAUGUAAUUAUUAACUAGUGAAACCCCAGUCCUACACGUGCUUCUCACCUGCAGUCUCUUGUAGAACUGUCACCAGUCACUGCUGCUUUCAUUAGGAAUGUCCAUAGAUGGUAUGCCUUUGUACAAAAGAUCCAGAAUACUAUGCUAAUGCAUGUAAUUGACAGCAGAAGUUCAUGUGGAGAAGGAGGUUGUGUAUCAGGUAUAUUUUUCUGUAAGAAUAAUUACUCUUGUCAGCAUAGACCACACUUUUUAUUUUUCAAAUGCAGAUCAAGUCUCUGAGAAGGAAAAUUCCAUUUAGCAUAUACCUAAAGUUGAUACCUGGUUUGUUAAUGUACUCAUAAAAUUAAAAAUCAUGAAAUUAAAAAAUGGGAAGGAAUAGGUAUCAUUAAAUGAUCUUUGAUCAAAGCUCAGCUGAAUGCACUGCAACAUUUAUACUAUAAUUAGAAACCUAGUGACUGUCCUUGCUCAGUGUUUUAUUCAUAGAUAACUAAGGUAUGUACCAUAAACCACAUAUGACUGUGAUCAAAGGACAUUUUUCUGUGUAUCUUAUCAGUAGCAAUAUACUAAUUUUAUGAUCAUAUUUUUUUCCCUUUCUAUUGUGUUUCCAUGAACUUUGUAUAGUUUGUUUUGGCUUGUGUUAUGUUAAUCAGUGUAAAUAGUUUUUAUUUAUUUAUCUAUUUAUUUAAUUACUUCCUAAAUGUUAAAAAUUAACAAAAAAUACACUACAAUUUAACUAUUAUGUUAUCUGAAAGGAUGAAAUGAUUCAUAUUUCAAGUUGGCAAGUCUCCUAGGUCUGAUCUAAAUAUGCGUACAUGGAAGAAGUAAGGAAAGAUAGCAAAAUCCGACAACACAAGCCAUCCAAGAUGAUAGGCCCAUUUUGAGUAUUUUAGCCAUUUUAUCUCUUAUUACAUAUGCUUUAUUUUUGAGACUAGACAUGGAAUUUACUAGUUUUGAAUAUAAGUGGGGAGGAACCUAGAUAUUCUGUUAGUAGCUGUGCACAGUUAGGAGGUAAUUCAAAUCUGUGAUACCAUUUUAGAUGGCAAUGGCCGUACAAAUAUCUGUUGGCUUUUUACUGCUGCCCAAGAAUGAUGCGAGUGUUGUGCAAGUCCUUUGUCAUCUGCUGUCAUCUGCUUUAUCAUCUUCCUGUGCAAAAGUCUCAGAUAUGUUUUCUGAAGUAUUAGAUGCAUGAGCCACAAGAGAAAACACAAGAAGGCAGCCUGUACCCUCUCUGGUACCCUCUCUGAAGGCAAGAACUCAAAGGAAAGGAGUGGAUGGAGGCAAGUCCAUGCUCAGAGCUGCAAACAAAACCUCUCCUUGCACCCAGAUGUUUCUGUACAACAUGUAUACAGCAUUUAUGAAGCUCUGGAUGUAAAAUACUUAUCUGUGAGUGAUAACAGCCCAUUUACACUAGAAGAAUCUAGGAUGUAUCUUGACAUCAUUCUCAAGACUGUUUAUGUCACUGAGCCAGAAUAAGUCCUUACAGUGGAGUUGUAGUAACUGUUUAGCUCUGCUGGCCUUCCAGGAGUAAUAUUCAACUGAAAACUCAGCAUUCUUCAGGCCUUCCCAUUUUGCAGUGUGUUAGAAAUGUCCCAUGAUCAUGUCCUGCAUUCCUGCUUAAGAGUGCUGCAGGUAAACUUAUUAUUCCUUGUAUCUAAUUACAUAUUUUGUACCUUUUAAUAUUGUUUUCAUUAUCUGCCAGCAGCAACCAGAGCAGCCAAAGAAGAGGUGGUUGUGUCACCAACAAAACACUGCUAUCCAAAUGCAACACAGGGGCAGUCUGACAAAAUGGCCUUUGACAUAGACAUGGAUUUCAGGCCCAUUUCUAAUUUCUCAUGUCCUGGAUUUUCUCCUCUGAAUUCAAAGCCAUUGGCAUAGGGAAGACUUAAAUAAGGCCAUUUCAGACACAUCUACGCAGUUGUGGUGUCACUGUCCUGUUGCAUUAUAUGAUUUUCAUUACAUACUUUAUUUUGUUGGAGCAAAUGGACCUUUUUUAUUUUUCUCUUUAUACCAGAGACAAAGAAUGAUCAGAACAAGGAUUUAUCAACACUGAGUCACGCUUCUGAAAAACAGACUUAAAUGAGCACAGACAAAUAUGUUAUACUUGACUUCAGUUUUAAUUUCAGUCUUCGAAUUAUAUUGUAUUGGUCAUACACCUUUUUUUUUUUUCCUUUAUUUGUGUGGGGCUGUGUCUAUUGAUAUUGCUGUACUUCGCAUUCUGAAGGGAAACAGUGACCAAUUAAAGAAUUAUAUACAGAACAAAUUCAGUUUCAUUACCUCUCUGAUUUCAGGAUUACAUGUUGCAGAUAACAGUCAUAAUACACUGAGAUGUGCUGUACAAUGUCAUAUGGAUUGGCAUGAUAUGCUUUAAGAGUAUGAUAAGAAUUCAUAGACUGCAUUUGAAGUGAAUGGAAAAGCUUUCCUCUUCAGUUAGUUGUGACUGUAAUCAAUCUCUUAACUUCAAGUUUCUAAAUGCCUUAAUAGUGUUAGUAACAAUGGAUGCUCUACCAAAUCCAAGAGCAAAACAGCUUUAUGAAGGAAGACAGAAAUCUCAUCUCUCAAGC